CCUUUCCCCUCCUCGGCGCCGUUCUCCCUCUGAACAUCAGAGACGGUGGUCGUGCUAAACCUACAAAGGACCAAAGUCCCAUCGCCAGCCACCAAGCUUUCGUGGCCAAUUCGCUCCGGCCGCCCUCCAAACCAAUCGGUGAAGACUCUAGGCCACCCUAAACGAUCGAGACGCCUCAGCUUCCUCUUCUCUACCCAUUCUUCCUCUCAACCGAGACCUCUCACCCAAAGCACUAAGCCACCGCCUAAACUGCCGCAAAUCACCGCCGUUCCUCCUUCCGACGAAGCCUAGGUUAUUCUAAGUGAACCAAAAUAUUCGAACCCCAAACCUAAAUCCAACCCUUUCUAUUUUCUUCCCCGACAGUAACCCCUGGGAGCCGACCACCGCCGUUAAUCGGCUCUUCUCUUCCCCUUGGUCACCACAAACAGUGACCAAUCGAAUCACAAACCUAAAAAUCUCACAUGCAAACCCUGAAAUUUAAAUGAGACACCAAAAGCUUCUCCCAUAGCCCCUCUACUCCAGCGACGCGACCCUUCCAAGCGAAGAGAACUCAACCGAUAGGAAAAUGGGGAAACCUUUGCUUACAUUGAUGUGUCGAGAGAAAAAAUGCGAGAGGCUCAUAUUGUGUAUUGCUUUCGAAUGAAGGGGUGUAGCUCAUUGUUUGCUAUUGCUUUCGAAUGGGAGGAAGAGUCUCUCUUGUAUUCCUUUUCCCGAUGAUAACUCCAGCGAGGUUCCUUCUCUCAACGAAGUUAACUCUUUCCUCUGUUCAUGUUGAUGACGAGGCCUCUUUGCUGGUGUGAGUUUGUUAUUCCAUCUGCUACUGAGAGGAUGAUCCCAAUUGGUAGUGCACAACUGGCGUGAAGGAUAGGUGCCAACUCGGGGAACUUCUGGAAUAUUGGUGACGAGGCUCGGAUGUUGCUGGGAUAGCUCAUGUGGAGGAGAGGGAGGGGGCAUCUCUACUAGGAUUUGUUGUUGGGUUUAGUAAUGGGUCUCAACCGGGUCUAGGUCAUUUUUUUGAGACAAAUGGAUUGGGUUUAAGUUUGGGUUUGAACAUUUAUUUUGGGUUUUAUAAAUGGGGUGUUAUGUAUAAAUGGACAUGGAUAUUGUUUUAAUGGUUAAUUUUUGAUGA